CUGCUGUAGCAGGUUUGUAUGUAGCUGCAGGAGAAGCAGCUGUACUAACACAGAGGCCCCUAUCCACCCAGAGGCACUGAUAACCCUGCUGGAAGAAUAGCUCACAGUCUACAUAUUGAUGCAUCCUCAAAUAUAAAGUCAAGUAGGGUUUUACAGAUUGCAUGCCUUGUAUAAUUUUCCAGUUAAGAAACUAGCCUCAUGUCUUUAUAGUUUUUCUGUCCUUAUUAUAUUUUAGAACCGGCUAAUAGCAAAUUGUAGUGCGAGCUGCUAUCAGGUCUAGACUGAAUAGCAUUAUGGUAUUCGGUGUGUGUGUGUAAUCUGUAAUAUUGAGUGGCACAGCAUGCCAACACACUGAGGUCAGUGCAGUUUAUACUGCCAGCACUUAUACUCAGCAUGCAGUUAGUGAUAUGACAUAGACCACCUAAGCACUGUCCUCAUGUACACACUCCAGACUAAGUGUGUGAAAGUGUGUGUGUGGUACAUUAACUACUAUCUAUCUAUCUAUCUAUCUAUCUAUCUAUCUAUCUAUCUAUCUAUCUAUCUAUCUAUCUAUCUAUCUAUCUAUCUAUCUAUCUAUCUAUCAUCUAUUAAAAUGUUACAUUGUAGUCUAGACACACAUAAAUGAUUUCAGUUUGAUUUCAACAACAUUCAAUUUCAGAUUUAAAAUUUUAAAGAAUUAAUUACCCCCCCCCCCAUGUAUAUAUUUUUUUCUUUAUUUUGAUUGCUGAUACAAGCCUGACCUGGGAUAAAGAAAAGCAUGUAUUUGUAAUAAACAGAAACACAUUGACCAUUUUCAUCAGACCUUGGGAUAACAAGAUCGCUCUGUUUCUUUUGAGUGCAGCCGAGUGUAAUUGUUUGUAGAUUUAGCUUUCAGAGUUGACUUGUGAAAUUGAGCAAAUGUUAACCCACUUUAUUUCUCUUUGUGUGUGUACGCAUGUGUUUGUGUAUUUGGGGCCGUUUGUUACCUUGUGAGCAGUGGAGCAGUGAUGGACUCAGCUGGCUUGGGAAGAGCUGCCAGAUUUUUCAGAACAAUGCCACCCUCAUCAUCACCGUUAACGCCUCUCUCCUCCUCAGAAACAUCCCAGAUCCCAACACGCCUCUAUAUUAUCCUCACAUAUCAAUGUCUGCUGGUGUCUGUUGUGGCUGGCCCUGUCAGAAGCUUAGCAUGUGUGCAAUCAAAUCACUUCCUUCUGUAUCCUGCAGAUUAUGAAAAGCGAUUAAUGAUUACACGCAGCACCAAACUGAAAAAAUUAAGGGGGUGAAUUGACCCGAGUGAGAGGUUUUCAGCGCUACACAGAUUGAUGUUGAGCAUGGUGACCGGAAAUCCAAUUUGUGUUUCGAAAGGUACACCUUUGUACUUUAAUUACCUCUAAAGUGUGCAUAUUAGUAAUAUAAUGAUAAAUAUUAAUCCUUUUUAAAAAGGGCACCCCUCCAGUGCCAGCAUUUGUACAACUGUUUAUUAGAGACUAGUCUAUUGCAUAUGUAUACGUUACUUAAUCAUCCAAAGCUAAAAAUGCAAAAUGUCUAGCAUUAAUUUUUUUUUGGUUAGUCAAGUGCAUCAUCUGGGUAUUUGAAGUGCGCUUUUUCUUUUUGGAAAGUGAACACACUACUCACACUAUUUCUACUACAAUAUGGGACAGAGUAGUGCAUCUGAAUUGGGACGCGCCUCCAGGUUUACUCUCUUUUAAAAAAAAUAUGACCCACACUGGUUGACCACACAGCUCUGAGGAGAUGCUCACCAGUGGUGGGCAGACAGUGCUGCAUCUCUCAGUAGAAUGGUUGUUAAGGAUUAAGAUGUUAAACGGAGACUAUCUAAAAGCAUAGCGCUCUGCUGGGCUGCUCUCUCUGUCUCUCCUCACUCUCUCAAGCGAUCUGCUGCUGCAGUGGAUUAACUCACUCGAGAGAGAGAGAGUCAAGAAGCCACAUACGCAUGUAUAAAUACAAGCAUUAUUAUAUAUUGGAAAAGUGUCUUUGCUAUUCCCCUGGUCCCACUGAGCUCCUGCAGCGCUCUGGUGACUCAGGCCUCAGGCGUAGCUCAGGAAAAGGCAAAUCACUAAUGCUCUUAGCAUCAAACAAUAAAUCCUGCAGUUAUUUUCCACCAUGUUUAAUUAAAUAUUUUAAGAAGAAAACCUGGCUGAUUGAUUUGCCUCGGCCAUUGAUUCACUAUUGAUUUGGCACUGUCAAGGGGCCUCCACAGCGCUACUUGCUAAAUGGCCACAAGGAGCCCUUAAAUAAAUUAAGUACUUUUGCGAGCUUUAACAAAAUCAACUUUGCGAGCCGCUCCUACAGGUCCUGCUCCCACCGCUCUCGGGGGUUUGUGACAGGCCGCUUCUCCUCCUGAGGAAAAUAAGUCCUCAAACUGCAUUUUGUAUGAGCAUUGAUGAAUGCUGAAUUAUGAAAUUGUAAUGCCCAAUAAAUUGUCUUUGUUUUCCCAAUGCAGCUAUUGCGCUUGAAUGUGGCUCCUUUUGACCCCCACAGAGCAUUAGCUCGGUUUAUUUCCUCAAAACACUUGAAAAGAGAGUGAUAUUAAUAAUCCCAUUACAAAGCAGGAGGAAAAGAGGGAGAAUUAAAAGGCCAUUAGUUGUGAUAAAAAAUGUAGUCAUUACCCCGUACCUCGCUAGAUACUCAAUUCCCUUUUCUCAUCACAGCCUGGCUCUUUGGGAUACAUCAUAAUAUCUCUCAAUGCUCAAUUUUCUCCUAUUAUUGUGUGUUUUAUCUUCAUUUAUGUCAGUCCAUAAUUCAAAAAUCAUUAUAUUUCUUAAACAGUGUAGACAUUUAAAUAAACAUCCUCCUCACUGACAAAUUACUGCAGCACUUAAAUGACUAUGUCAGGUCAAGCAACAAAAUAUAAACAUAAAAAGAGCUGGAUACAGGUGAAAGCCUUCGUAGCCCAGUCAGAUGACAGGGAGAAAAAGAACAGGAGAAAAGGCGAAAGAGAGGACAAGAGGGAGAGUAAUUCGAACACACACACACAGAGAAAGAGAGAGAGGCUCAGUGUAUGGCUAUAGGGAUUCAGAUUGCUAUCAGGCCUUUAUCAGUCUCAUCUCAGAGCGGCAUUGAUCUUCGCUGAGAAUCUAAUCCUAACUAUGAAGUUCAAUAACAACUCCAUUACCUGGCUCGCGCUGAUUGGAGCGUUGUAAUGCCAAGAUUAGUAGCUGGCUGCCUGACCUGCCAACAUUGAUUUGUGCUGCAAAAUCACUUGUUCUAGAAAAAGAGAGAGAGCGAAAGAAAGAGAGAGAGAGAGAGAGAGAGAGAGAGAGAGAGAGAGAGAGAGAAAGAAAGAAAGAAAGAACGUGUUGGUGAGGUAAUUGGAAAUUGAACAAUUUUUAUUUUCACCUUUUUCCCCCUUUCCCUCUCUCUGGUUUUUCUUUCACCCCCGGCAUAAACUCGACCCUUUCUUUCAUUGAUUAGUUGCCUGUUUAUAUCAGGCGUUACCAAACACAAGCUACCUGGUGUGUGUGUGUGUGUGUGUUUGUGUGUACGCUGCUCAAACUGUAGCCAGGAUAGUGAUCUCUCCGUCUUUCUCUCUCUUUCUCUCUCUCUUUCCCCCAGCAGGCCCAAAUAGCUCCUCUCAGCCCAGUGAAUGAAUGGCUUCACAGCCUGUUAGCUUUAAGUAAUAGAAGCAUUGAGCCCAUCCUACUGGCAGAGACAGCUCAUUUACUCCUCUCUUUUUCUCCUCUGGUAGCCCCUCCCUUCGUUCCUUCUCUCUCCCUCAUCCACCUUCUUUCUUUUUAACAGGCACAGAUUACGCAGGUCAAAUAAAUGAAACAGACUGUUUUGCGCGGGCUGCUCCGGUGGGUGCCGAAAUGGAUGAACCCAUUUCCCUUAAUGCAGACACGAGUCUGGCAUGCGCACACACACACAUGCUCACACAGAUGUGCUCCCUCCCCCUACUCGCCCCUGUCUCUGAGGUUACAGGUUAAUGACAUGCUCAUUUCGCCCAGCCAUUUGUUUUGUUUUCCUGCAAAGUUCUGAUAAGUAGCUAACCAACGAACCUUGUAAUUACAAUCUUACAGAAACCAGCCCGAUCUGUAUAUAAAUCUCACCAUCCAAUUACAAGAUGUAAUAAUUUUGCACUCAAGCUGGUAAUGAGCUCUAAUACUGCAGCAUGUGAUAAUCCCCUCUGGAUGCUGGCUUGAUCAGAUGUUGGCUUUGUAAUUAGACUGGCAGAAAAUCAUUAUUUCAUGUUCAAAUAGAAAAUGAGGUUGGUGGGAAGUUAAUUUCUCUACGCUCUGUGAAGCGUAGACAAGAAUUUAAUGAUUUAAUUACAGUUGUAAGCUCCUUGGAUGAGACUUAAAUUGAGCUGCAAUUUUUUUAAGCACACUACCAUUUUGAGAGCAGGGCACAUCAAAGCCUCUGACAAGAGUCUAAAGUGAUAGGGCACUGUGAUGUUUUUGAUAUGCUCAAAUUCCUUUUCUCGUUAUCUGGUCAGUUCUGCUUAAGUGAAUUACUGAUUACUGUAUAAUACCACAGAAACUCUUUGAGGCACAAAACCUUCAUUAUGCAUAAAAGUUAUUUUUUCCUUAUGCUUUUGAUUUAAUUUCCACAUUGCCAAUAAUAAUUAAAAAAGACUAUAAAAAGAUAGUAUUUUUUUUUUUACCACGUUAUGUCACGCACCAUUGUGGUGAAGACUAAUUUUCAAAAGAGAACUCAUAUUCAUAUUCAGCAAUGCCUUUGUUCAUAUAUAUGCUCUUUCCUGCAGAGAUCAGAGUGCAUAAAAACAUCAAUGUUUAAAAAUAGCUUUUUUUACGUAUAUCAGUCCCAGAAAGAAUUGUAUUUUUCCCUCAUUGUAUCCGGCAUCCACUAGAUUCCGAUUGUUUAUAAUUUUUUCUUUGUUGUUGCAAUAUUUGUCCAUUUUCCUCAUUGUAAUUUUUAUUUUAUUUUUUAACUCACAAACUUAAGCUAUAUCCAUAUAGUCUAUUGUAAUACACAUAUUACUUGUAUACACAUAUGCUGAAAAUGUUUAUUAAACAUAAUAACAAGAAAAGAUAGCUCUCUUUUUAGUAAAAGCUGGCAAAAUAUAGAUUUUGUUUCUCCUCAUUUCGCUCUCUUUUUCUUCCUCUGUAGUGCAACGUCUGUUCGGCGCUCUGCAAUCA
ensembl:lncRNA